UGUAGAACUAACCUGUUGAGC
rnacentral:piRNA from 1 species